rnacentral:rRNA from 1 species
UACGUAGGGGGCUAGCGUUGUCCGGAAUCAUUGGGCGUAAAGCGCGCGUAGGCGGCCCAGUAAGUCCGUUGUAAAAGUCAAAGGCUCAACCUUUGAAAGCCGAUGGAUACUGCUGGGCUAGAGUCCGGAAGAGGCGAGUGGAAUUCCUGGUGUAGCGGUGGAAUGCGCAGAUAUCAGGAGGAAUACCGAUGGCGAAGGCAGGUCUCUGGGCUGACACUGACGCUCAUGCACGAAAGCGUGGGGAGCAAACAGG